AUGAAACCUCAAGAUGUUCACAAUUUAACAUCGCAGAGGCCUUUAGAUUAGACUGACCAAAAAAAAUAUAAAAUGUCAUAAAAUAUCUAGGAGUAGUUUGUUACGGCGUAAAACAUGUCACUUCCUGUUGCCAGCAGGUGGCGCUAUAGCGAUAUCUGAAUAUUGGCAUGUAGAUAUAUUCAGGUCAGGAGUAUUCUCAAACAUGUGAAGUUUGAGGCAGAUUGGACAUUGUAUGUCUGAGUUAUAGCAACUUCCUUUCUCAUGGCGAAACAUCGAAAUUUGUAAGGCCGCCACAGACACGCCCUUCAACGAAAACUCAAGAUCUUCGCAAUUUAACAUCGCAAAGGCCUUUAGAUUAGGCAUACCAAAUUUGGUGUUGAUCUGAAUAAAUCUCUAGGAGGAGUUCG
ensembl:lncRNA